UACGUAGGGGGCGAGCGUUGUCCGAAGUUACUGGGCGUAAAGCGCGCGUAGGCGGUCCUUUAAGUCUGAGGUGAAAGGUUCAGCGCUCAACGUGAACAGUGCCUUGGAGACUGGGGGACUUGAAUGUGGGAGAGGGCAGUGGAAUUCCUGGUGUAGCGGUGAAAUGCGUAGAUAUCGGGAGGAACACCAGUGGCGAAGGCGGCUUUCUGGCCUGUUCUUGACGCUGAGGCGCGAAAGCUAGGGGAGCAAACGGG
rnacentral:rRNA from 1 species